UACAGAGGGUGCAAGCGUUGUUCGGAAUUAUUGGGCGUAAAGGGCGCGUAGGCGGUGCGGUAAGUCUGUAGUGAAAUCUCUGGGCUCAACUCAGAGUCUGCUAUAGAAACUGCCGUGCUAGAGUGCGGGAGAGGCGAGUGGAAUUGCAGGUGUAGCGGUGAAAUGCGUAGAUAUCUGCAGGAACACCCGUGGCGAAGGCGGCUCGCUGGACCGCAACUGACGCUGAGGAACGAAAGCUAGGGGAGCAAACAGG
rnacentral:rRNA from 1 species